rnacentral:piRNA from 1 species
UGCCUGCUUUUGCUGGUGGCAGUGAC